CCUGAGGGGACCUCUGGCCUCCACACACACUUGCUCGCACAUGAACAAAAGAAAGAAGGGACGGGAGUGUCGAAGUGGCGUAGGGAGCACAGGGCUCUGCCCCAUGGCAUGCAGUCCCUUCCUACACCACUGGAGGUGAGGCUGGGCCCUGACUCUGCCCCUGCGUCUUUCUACAACUCCUCAGAGUCCUGUGGGCAAUGACUGAGAAGACAGACAAUGUGGAAAAGAAGA
rnacentral:snoRNA from 1 species